GACGAACGCUGGCGGCGUGCUUAACACAUGCAAGUCGAACGGAAAGGCCCUGCUUUUGUGGGGUGCUCGAGUGGCGAACGGGUGAGUAACACGUGAGUAACCUGCCCUUGACUUUGGGAUAACUUCAGGAAACUGGGGCUAAUACCGGAUAGGAGCUCCUGCUGCAUGGUGGGGGUUGGAAAGUUUCGGCGGUUGGGGAUGGACUCGCGGCUUAUCAGCUUGUUGGUGGGGUAGUGGCUUACCAAGGCUUUGACGGGUAGCCGGCCUGAGAGGGUGACCGGCCACAGGGGGACUGGGAAACGGCCCGGACGCAUUCGGGGGGAAGGGGUGGGGAAUAUGGCACAAGGGGCGGAGGCGGGAUGCAGCAACGCCGGGUGGGGGAGGACGGCCUUCGGGUGGGAAACGGCUUUCGCCUGUGACGAGGCGUGAUGGAGGGAAAUGGGUAAAGAAGAACGGCUUAACUAGGU
rnacentral:rRNA from 1 species